rnacentral:rRNA from 1 species
CCUACGGGAGGCAGCAGUAGGGAAUUUUCGUCAAUGGGCGCAAGCCUGAACGAGCAAUGCCGCGUGAACGAGGAAGGUCUUCGGAUCGUAAAGUUCUGUUGACGGGGAAAAAGAGCGGAGAGAGGAAAUGGUCUCCGAUUGAUAUUACCCUUCGAGGAAGUCCCGGCUAACUACGUGCCAGCAGCCGCGGUAAUACGUAGGUGGCGAGCGUUAUCCGGAAUGAUUGGGCGUAAAGGGUGCGUAGGCGGCCUGCUAAGUCUGGAGUGAAAGGUACCGGCUCAACCGGUACAGGCUCUGGAAACUGGCGGGCUAGAGAGCAGGAGAGGGCGGUGGAACUCCAUGUGUAGCGGUAAAAUGCGUAGAUAUAUGGAAGAACACCAGUGGCGAAGGCGGCCGCCUGGCCUGUGACUGACGCUGAGGCACGAAAGCGUGGGGAGCAAAUAGGAUUAGAUACCCUGGUAGUC